AGCUCUCAUGUUUUCUAAUUGUUCAGGCAAAGGUGUUGCAACGGAAGAGCACUCGCUCAUGGCUGCAACAACUAACAAGUCUCCUGCGUACUUCUGCUGAGAAAGGAAGAGACCUGAAGGAUGGAAGUGAGCCUGAAUUCCAAGAAAAUAAUGCAUUUGGCUCAGAUCUUUCAUGCGGAACUGGGUGUUGAGAGAGUCUAGAAAGGCUGUCAUAGCUGCGGAGCUGUUUCCUGUGAUAAGCAUGUCGUCCACGUAGAGUAGAAGCACAAUGACUGCUCCAUCUCGCUUGUAGACGAAGAGUGAUGGAUCCGGUAUGCUACAGGAUCUACAAAUUCAGCUGGUUGUUUCAUGUACACUAUCUCUGUGAGAUCACCAUGAAGGAAGGCGUGUUCGACAUCCAUUUGUUUUAUAUCCCAACCCAUUUUGGUGGCCAUAUCCAAGACUGCUCUGACAGUUGUUGUGCGUACUACAGGACUAUAUGUCUCCAGGAGGUGUCAAGUCCCAAGUGUGUGCUGCUUUACAGUUUCCCAUUUCAGUGCCCAUCGCUCCAUUCCAACCUGGAUGUUUAAGAGCUUCAGCUACUGUUUUUGGUUCUGGAUGGGAUACUUUAUGAGACAAUAAAGCAUAUCUUGGAUUCGGCUUUUGUAUCCCGUCUUUUAAUCUUGUUGUCAUUCCGUGAGUAGGUUGGACUUGACUGACAGAUUCUGCUUUUGAUGAUGUUGCAGGAACCUGUGGAGACUGAACAGAGGGCAUAGAAGAGGCCGAGGAUUCACCAGAUUCUUGAGUUUGUGUGCUUGACCUUGAAGAAAAUUCUGAGGCAAAAGUAUCUGAGACGCAGUCUCAGGUGUUGGAGAUGAAGUUGAAGUAUGAAUUGGAGUCACUGGAGGAGUAUGAGCCACUGAUGAGCUGGAGCUGG